rnacentral:lncRNA from 13 species
ACCCGGCCUCACCCUACUAGAAUCUGAGCACACAAACAACUAUACAUACCUUGGCCUAAACAUCACGCCACAGGUAACUUCCACAACCUGAGAGACAAGGCAAAAAGGACAUUCUAUGCCAUCAAAAGGAACAUAACAACAUACCAAUUAGGAUCUGGCUAAAAAUACUUGAAUCAGUUAUAGAACCCAUUGCCCUUUAUGGUUGUGAGGUCUGGGGUCCGCUCACCAACCAAGAAUUCACAAAAUGGACAAACACCAAAUUGAGACUCUGCAUGCAGAAUUCUGCAAAAAUAUCCUCUGUGUACAACGCAGAACACCGAAUAAUGCAUGCAAAGCAGAAUUAGGCCAAUAACCGCUAAUUAUCAAAAUCCAGAAAAGAGCCAUUCAAUUCUACAACCACCGAAAAGGAAGUGAUCCCCAAACCUUCCAUAACAAAGCCAUCCCCUACAGAAAGAUGAACCUGGAUGUUACGGUGAGUGAAUGAGGACCCAAAAGCGAAUUAACUUAAACAGAGCUUCUUUAAUAACCAAACAUAGGUAGGCUCAGAUAGACCGGCAGAUUCCGACAGGACAGGACAAGGUUACAGCAAACAUGACGAUAGUCUGGUUCAGGCAUGAAACACAACAAACAAGAAUCCGACAAGGACAGGAACAAAAACAGAGAGAGAUAUAGGGACCUAAUCAGAGGGAAAAAGGGAACAGGUGGGAAACGGGGUGAAUGGGUAGUUAGGAGGAGACAAGGCACAGCUGGGGGAAAGAGGGGGAGAAAAGGUAACCUAACAACGACCAGCAGAGGGAGACAGGGUGAAGGGAAAGUUAGGAGGAGACAAGGCACAGCUGGGGGAAAGAGGGGGAGAAAAGGUAACCUAACAACGACCAGCAGAGGGAGACAGGGUGAAGGGAAAGGACAGAAACACACAACAUGACAAUACAUGACACUGGAGAAGAGUCCCCUAAUCAAGCUGGUCCUGGGGCUCUGUUCCCAAACACAAACACACCCUACAGAGCCCCAGGACAGCAACACAAUUAGACCCAACCAAAUAAUGAGAAAACAAAAAGAUAAUUACUUGAUACAUUGGACAGAAUUAACAAAAAAACAGAGCAAACUAGAAUGCUAUUUGGCCCUAAACAGAGUACACAGUGACAGAAUACCUGACCACUGUGACUGACCCAAACCUAAGGAAAGCUUUGACUAUGUACAGACUCAGUGAGCAUAGCCUUGCUAUUGAGAAAGGCUGCCGUAGGCAGACCUGGCUCUCAAGAGAAGACAGGCUAUAUGCGCACUGGCCACAAAUUGAGGUGGAAAAUGAGCUGCACUUCCUAACCUCCUGCCAAAUGUAUGACCAUAUUAGAGACACAUAUUUCCCUCAGAUUACACACACUCACAAAUAAUUUGAAAACAAAUCAAAUUUGGAUAAACCUCCAUAUCUAUUAGGUGAAACAUCACAGUGUACCAUCAAAGCAGCAAGAUGUCUGACCUGUUGCCACAAGAAAAGUGCAGCAGCCAGUGAAGAACAAACACCAUUGUAAAUACAACCCAUAUUUAUGUUUACUUAUUUUCCCUUUUGUACUUGCAUCUUACAACACUGUACAUAGCCAUAAAAUUACAUAUGAUAUGUCUCUAUUCCUUUGAAACUUAUGUGAGUGUAAUGUUUACAGUACAUUUUUUAUUGUUUAUUUCACUUUUUUUUAUUAUUAUCUAAUUUACUUGCUUUGGCAAUGUAAACAUGUGUUUCCCCAACCAAUAAAGCCAUUUAAAUUGAACUGAAUUGAAUUGAGAGAGAGAGAGAGAGAAGCAAAGAAACCACCUCCAGUGGUGUGAGAUGUACAGUGACACUAUCGAUUAAAAGAGGUCCUGCCUCCCUUCCGAAAAGAGAAAGUGGAAUACACACACACACA